rnacentral:rRNA from 1 species
UGGGGAAUAUUGGACAAUGGGGGCAACCCUGAUCCAGCCAUGCCGCGUGAGUGAAGAAGGCCUUAGGGUUGUAAAGCUCUUUCAGUCGUGACGAUGAUGACGGUAGCGACAGAAGAAGCCCCGGCUAACUCCGUGCCAGGAGCCGCGGUAAUACGGAGGGGGCAAGCGUUGUUGGGAAUUACUGGGCGUAAAGGGCGCGUAGGCGGCACAUCAAGUCAGAGGUGAAAGCCCCGGGCUCAACCUGGGAAUUGCCAUCGAAACUGAUGAGCUAGAGUCCGGAAGAGGAUAGCGGAAUUCCCAGUGUAGAGGUGAAAUUCGUAGAUAUUGGGAAUAACACCAGUGGCGAAGGCGGCUAUCUGGUCCGGUACUGACGCUGAGGCGCGAAAGCGUGGGGAGCAAACAGGAUUAGAUACCCGCGUAGUCC